rnacentral:rRNA from 1 species
GAUUGAACGCUGGCGGCAGGCCUAACACAUGCAAGUCGAACGGUAACAGGAAGCAGCUUGCUGCUUYGCUGACGAGUGGCGGACGGGUGAGUAAUGUCUGGGAAACUGCCUGAUGGAGGGGGAUAACUACUGGAAACGGUGGCUAAUACCGCAUAACGUCGCAAGACCAAAGAGGGGGACCUUCGGGCCUCUUGCCAUCAGAUGUGCCCAGAUGGGAUUAGCUUGUUGGUGAGGUAACGGCUCACCAAGGCGACGAUCCCUAGCUGGUCUGAGAGGAUGACCAGCCACACUGGAACUGAGACACGGUCCAGACUCCUACGGGAGGCAGCAGUGGGGAAUAUUGCACAAUGGGCGCAAGCCUGAUGCAGCCAUGCCGCGUGUAUGAAGAAGGCCUUCGGGUUGUAAAGUACUUUCAGCGGGGAGGAAGGUGUUGYGGUUAAUAACCRCAGCAAUUGACGUUACCCGCAGAAGAAGCACCGGCUAACUCCG